rnacentral:rRNA from 1 species
UACGGAGGGUGCAAGCGUUAUCCGGAUUCACUGGGUUUAAAGGGUGCGUAGGUGGGUUGGUAAGUCCGUGGUGAAAUCUCCGAGCUUAACUCGGAAUCUGCCGUGGAUACUAUCAAUCUUGAAUACUGUGGAGGUAAGCGGAAUAUGUCAUGUAGCGGUGAAAUGCUUAGAUAUGACAUAGAACACCGAUAGCGAAGGCAGCUUGCUACACAGUCAUUGACACUGAGGCACGAAAGCGUGGGGAGCAAACAGG